GUUUUGUUAAUUUGCUUUUGGUUAAGAAAAAUAAAAUGUAAUAUUUUUUAGAUAUAGACAUAUGAAUUAGUAUAUGUUAAUAAUGAUUUAUUUUUUAGUUUUCUAUUUCUUUAAGAAAAAAAAGUUAAUUAUUUUCUUACACGUGUCAACAUCUGAUCGAUAGACUUGACACGUGGCAUAAUCCUAUGAAUUAGUAAUUCUAAU
rnacentral:sRNA from 1 species